CCCUUAGAUGUUCUGGGCCGCACGCGCGCUACACUGACGAUGGCAACGAGUUUUUCCUUCGCCGAAAGGUGUGGAUAAUCUUUUGAAACAUCGUCGUGCUGGGGAUAGAUCAUUGCAAUUUUUGAUCUUGAACGAGGAAUUCCUAGUAAGCGCGAGUCAUCAGCUCGCGUUGAUUACGUCCCUGCCCUUUGUACACACCGCCCGUCGCUACUACCGAUUGAAUGGUUUAGUGAGGACUCCUGAUUGGCGCCGCCGCCCCGGCAACGGAGCAGCGGACUGCCGAAAAGUUGUUCAAACUUGAUCAUUUAGAGGAAGUAAAAGUCGUAACA
rnacentral:rRNA from 1 species